CAGAAGCUGAGAGCAGAAAGGGGCUACAGGGAAGUAGGCUGCAGUCACUCUCUGGGAGCUGGGACGGUGGUGAACCCCGAGAAGUGGGGGAAGCCAGGAAGUGCCUUCCUACACAGUCAGUACCUCUGACACAGAACACUUAGGAAAAAUGGAAACUCUUCUUUGUACACCAGCUCAGGGGAUGUUUCUGGAUCUUGCACAGCAUCGGAGAUGAGGAAGACAGAAGAUGCACUAUCAAGGAGAGAUUGGAUGGAUGUCAAAAGUGUAUAGAGCAAAAACCGGUGUAUAGAGCUAAAACUACUGCAAGAGAAGGAGCAGAAUCACAUGGAAAGGAAAAACAGUUUUAACCUAAUUAAAAAUAUGUUCCUAUCCAGAUCUUUU